rnacentral:rRNA from 1 species
GAACGCGAAGAACCUUACCUGGCCUUGACAUGUACCGAAUUUACCAGAGAUGGUUUAGUGCUCGAAAGAGAACGGUAACACAGGUGCUGCAUGGCUGUCGUCAGCUCGUGUCGUGAGAUGUUGGGUUAAGUCCCGCAACGAGCGCAACCCUUGCCAAUAAUUGCCAUCAUUUAGUUGGGCACUUUAUUGGGACUGCCGAUGACAAAUCGGAGGAAGGUGGGGAUGACGUCAAGUCCUCAUGGCCCUUAUGGCCAAGGCUUCACACGUAAUACAAUGGUCGGUACAGAGGGUCGCCAACCCGCGAGGGGGAGCUAAUCCCAGAAAGCCGAUCGUAGUCCGGAUUGCAGGCUGCAACUCGCCUGCAUGAAGUCGGAAUCGCUAGUAAUCGCGGAUCAGCAUGUCGCGGUGAAUACGUUCCCGGGUCUUGUACACACC